AAGGAUCAUUACAUAUAAAUGGUGGACUGGGGGCUCCCAAGCAUCAACACUUGUGUCCGACGCUUGCCCAGUCUGCUUGAAUAUUCACCCAU
rnacentral:rRNA from 1 species